GGGGGGGGGGAGAAAGAAAAAAGCAGCUGUUAAAACAGUUGUUGUGCACCAGGGGAAGGGCCCUGCCUUCCUUCCACGCUGCCAAACUCCGUAAACAGUUGUCAUUUUCUUUCACUCGGUGUGGCCCUGCCAGCGGCUGAGUCCCCUGGUUUGGGGGGACGGAGGUGUCAGGCCAACUUCAAGUUUUAGUCGCUUUCGAUGUAAAGACAGAAGAUUUUGCAUUUCCCAAGAAAAGGAAUUCCUGAAUUCCAAACCCGAGGCAGCAACCUGUUCAGAGGAAGUGUGUGGGUCUCUCACAGACUGUGUUAAUUGAACUUUUAGAGUCUUUGUAAGUCAUCAAUAAGUGCAGAUAAAGACACCCACCCCUGUAAAAGUUACAAACGUCCAAUUUAUAUUUUCAGAAUGUCAGCUACCGUGGGUCUUGUUUCCCUUCCCUCCUGGUGGACGAGAGUUUAAGUGCUGUAAUCAUAGCAACUGUGGGCAAACCAAGGAGGUUAGAAAGGAGCCGCUCUAGGAAACAGAAGUACAAAGGAGAAGGCACACCCACUCCCGGGCAUAUUAAUCCAGACGGACUCAAAUAAUGAAACAGAGACCAAAAAGGAGCUUUGCCAAUCCUGUGCUAGGCUGUUGGCGUGGUCACAAGGAAGCCUCUGCAGCUUAGGGUACGACGGGGCCAGGUGUUCUAGGGAGCUUAAUUAAAAUGCAUUGUGACAGAACCAGAGUUGAAGUUUGAGAAUGAACAUGGCCGGCCAAACUUGAAUCGUUUCGAACAUUCAAACAGCUGAACUGUCACACAUAGCCCAGUGGAAUAAAGUGGCCAACCACCAGGUCAGAGUAUCAUUAUUUUUUUUUCAUUUCCAUAUUUUAUACAGUUUCAUAUACGCGGGGGCAGGUUCCUAACAUCAAUUAAUGACUGGUGGGCACAAUGAGACACUUCACGCAUCUCCUGCCUUUGCCUCCAGCCCCUAGCCGCUCUAGUGGCCAGAGCGAACAAUAUGUUCAGAGCAUCACGGCCAUUCAGUGAAUGCAGGCCUUCAGAAGUCAGCUCUUCCAUUUCUCCACUGCGUGCAAGGGACAAUUACUCAAUUUUAUCCUUCGAAAACUUCAGUAUACAUAUACGUACUUCCCCCCGAAACUUGCUGUUACAGAUAGAUUAACAGGCUUUCUCCUGAUAUAAAAGACCACAAUAUGUUGAAGGUCAUUACCCCCAGCCUCCACCCUCAACUCACUCCGUGUUUUAUCCUUGUAAUUUAUGGCAAAUGCCAGCAGGCCCUGCCUAGUAUUGAAACACAACACAAAUUCAGAAACAGCAACAAACAAGAAUUUAAAAAAACAAAAAACAAAGAUGAUGUCAGCUGUUUUCUCUGCUGUUUGCAAAACAUGACAAAGGACAGGCUAAUGUUUGGUAUUGUCUAAUGUGACUCCUAGUGACCAAGGGACAACAGUCACACACAUCAGGCUGAACCAGAAGACACAAUGUCUCCUUUACUUAACCACAAAUGAGAGAAUGCAUAAAAGUCAUUUUAAAAUGAGACAGGUGAGAAUAACAGGUAAAAAAUUAAAACACUGGCUUGUAAAAACAUUAUCAGGUGUAUUAAUUGUAUGGAUGUCUCCGCUUGUAUCACAGAGAAUUUAUUCACAAUUACGUUAACCUCAAAGUGAAUCUCCCCGUUUCAAACUUGAGCGAGUACACACAUCACACGGGAUCCCAUGGAGCCCACACAACAACACCCAACGCACGCACACAAGAACACAAAAUCCAAGGAUUGUACCUUUGGAAGGUGACUGCCUUGUUCAUAGCACUAGACUUUUUCUCCUACACCUUCUAAGUCCUUGUUUGCUCCACAAAGAGUUUUGUAGCCAUCUGAUGUUCUAUUACUAAGCUAGUGGCCUUUCAGGAGAGCUCUCUCCCUUCUGAAAAAAGCAAACAACUGCAUAGAUAUCAUUACACUAAGGAAAUCUCUUAGAAAAACCAAACAACUUGCUAAUCUCUCCAGCCCCUUCAUCCAAGCAAAAGAUAAGAAAAGCAAACCUAAGUCUGUUUCAACCACAUUCCAGGGACAAGUUCCCCUUUUU